rnacentral:rRNA from 1 species
GUGCCAGCAGCCGCGGUAAUACGUAGGGGGCAAGCGUUGUCCGGAUUUACUGGGCGUAAAGAGCGCGUAGGCGGAACGUUAAGCGGGGCCGGAAAGCCCCCGGCUCAACCGGGGAAGGGGCCGCGAACUGGCGUUCUUGAGGGGGAGAGAGGAGAGCGGAAUUCCUGGUGUAGCGGUGAAAUGCGUAGAGAUCAGGAGGAACACCCAUGGCGAAGGCAGCUCUCUGGCUUCACCCUGACGCUGAGGCGCGAAAGCGUGGGGAGCGAACGGGAUUAGAAACCCCGGUAGUCC